rnacentral:tRNA from 5 species
GGACCUGUAGUUCAACGGUCAGAACGGUACUCUUAUAAAGUAUAGACGAUGGUUCGACUCCAUCCAGGUCCACAA